AUUGAAGUGAGUCCAAGGUGGGCGGGAGAGGAGGCAGGCCCUGAGGCCCAGGUGUAGGAAGUAGGAAGGAGGUGAAUAUUGGGGAUGCGAAGUUAAGAAUUUGGUUUGAAGGAGAGAUGGAAGAGCUGAGAAAGCUAGAAGAAGUAGAGAGAAUGUUAGAGUUGAUGCAAUCCAAGAGCGUGGUUUCCACUUCCAAUGCCCAUUCUGACCGCUUCCUUGCCUCUCUAGUCCUUCUCUUGAUAAAUCCAUGCGGCAAUCUCGACAUUGCAGAGAAGUACACUUUGAUUACAGAGCACGUGCCUAAGAUUUCAGUUUCUUUUCUUGAGGAAGCAUCGUUCCUAUUUAAUCCAACUCUUUCUGGCUGUGGAGAAACUAGUGGCGGACAUGUUGUAUCAAGUCUUAGUAAUAAAAUAAGUAAGAACAAAUUAGAGUCUGGUAACUUCGAAGAUAUGGCUGUCGUUAGCUUGGAUUCAAUGCAAAGAGCUAAUUCUACAUUGGAGGAUUUUUGCAGGUCAUAUUUCAUGUUUCAUAAAAUGGACAUAAACUCGCUGCAAGCAAUAUUCAAGUUUUUACCUGUGCUUUCAUUCACAGAAAGCUAUAUCUAUCAGAUGGAUAGCCUGAAUGAAAAGAUUGUGAAUUUGUCAACCAAUAGAGAUGGAGUUGUAGAAAGAGAAAAUGAGAUGUGGGAAGGAAAUGAGAUCUGGAUUAAGAAGUGCAUGUACAUGUUGAAAACCGAUCCAUUCAGGCCACUUGUGGCUCAACUUGAAUGCCAUGGCCUUCUGACUGAGAGGAUUUUAGAAGAACUCGGAUUUGGAGAGGAGUACUGGUCUUUGGAAAGAAAACUUUGCACUGCACUCAUUAGGCGCAAGGAGAUCUCCAUUGAAGAUGUAAUGAGGGCAAUUUCUCUCAAAUCUUUUGAUUAUCGAAUAUUAAAUCUUCUCAUGUACCAGUUGAGAGGAGAAAAGGUGAAUGAGUUGCAUAUGGGCUUCCUAUCAAUCUCGGAAUUUCUCGUGGAAGUAUCUGAUGACCUGUUUGACUAUGAGGAUGAUGUAAUAGAGAACAAUUUCAAUAUUUUGCGCAUGUUUGUUGGAAUAUAUGGACCAUCAACAGCCCCAAUCAUGUUGGCCAAGCGUAUUGCGGAGGCUGAGGAGAAGUAUGACAUAUUGCUGAAAACUUUAGAUCCCCAACUGUCUUUAAAUUACCAGAAGAGAUGCCAGGAAGCCACUAAAGAAGGUGGCAAGAUCACUGGUCAUCCUUUUGGAACAUGGAAUAUCCCGCCAGUGAUUGUCAAUGAAGAAUUGCAUCGAAUGAGUUGUUUAAAUUCUAACUCAAUUAUGGAUACCUCCCGCUAAAACAGGCGCAUUCUGAUUGCCGGAAAAAAAGAUAGGGACUGUCUGCUAUCCAGUGUAGGGUGCUUAUUAUGAUUGAAAGAGAAGAGAGUGUGUCUGUGUGUAUGCAGUGUCGCUUUCAAAUCUGUGUAGCUGCUUGACUAUGCUUCUAUCUGAACAAAUCGACUCUCGUAGUCGAUUUCUAAUCUUAGAUGAAACCAUCUUCCGAUAAAAAAAAAAAAGAGGUAAACACAAAACUAUCGCAGGCUGACUGUUUUAUUUAUCAUGCAUACACUUUUACAUUUAUUUUUCUUCUUCUUUCCGUGUUGUAAUGUCUAAUUUUGAACAAAUGUCACUGCUUAAUAAGUUUCAUUUGGUGGGGAAUGGAGUAUAGCUGUUUUCAAACCAGCGAUUUUAA